rnacentral:rRNA from 1 species
CUAUAAUCGAUAACCCACGCUAAACCUUACCUGCCCUUGAAUUAAUCAGCCUAUAUACCUCCGUCGCCAGUCCGCCUGUCAACAGCCACUAAAGCGCGUACAACAGCCCAUCGCUCACACGACAGGUCAAGGUGUAGCUAAUGGGCACAGGCAGAGAUGGGCUACAUUUUCUACAUAAGAAAAUACCUAAAAUGCAAUGAAAUAUAGCUUGCAAGGCGGAUUUAGCAGUAAGCGGGGCCAGACAAGCCCCCCUGAAGCCUUCCAUGAGAUGUGUACACACCGCCCGUCACCCUC